GGAAGGGUCUCUACAGAGAUGAUCCAGGGAGGUAGGGAUGCCCUGAGCUGAAAAGGUAAACCAGAUUCCAUUUCAUGAAGCUGCCCAGUACAGUUCAAAAUAGCAAGGAACAGAGUCAGUGUGGAAGCUAAAUUCACCUCACCCACCACUGAGCCUUCAGUGCACAGGUGAGGAUAACUACCCCUGGACUGACCCAGUAUGGAGUUCAUAUGCAUCACUGGAGAUUCAAGAAGAUGAAGUGCAGACCCUGGCAAUGAAGCAUCCCCCUGAGGCUGUUACAGGUGUUCCUGAGCUCAGGCUGUACAUGUAAGAGGUUGAGUAGCUUCAGAUUCUGUCCUUGCCUGUCUACAUGAGAGGGACCCUAGAGCUCCUGUUUGUCCCCAACAGAAAUGUUGGUGGUGUGUGGGGGUGGGAUGGAGCAGCAGGGUCCAUGGUUGUCACAGGCAUCUCUGUGGAGAUUGGCAACCAAAUCCAAAAAGUCGUGGAGUCCAAAAAGUGAGGCAAAAAAAGUGGGUGCUGCAGGGGUCAAACUUUAUACACAGGGUUGGGUUACAUGAGGGCAAGUAACACACACCCAGGAAGGGCCAGCUGGCC
rnacentral:lncRNA from 1 species